UACGGGGGGAGCAAGCGUUGUUCGGAUUUACUGGGCGUAAAGGGCGCGUAGGCGGUCAGCACAAGUCAGUUGUGAAAUCUCCGGGCUUAACUCGGAAAGGUCAACUGAUACUGUGCGACUAGAGUGCGGAAGGGGCAACUGGAAUUCUCGGUGUAGCGGUGAAAUGCGUAGAUAUCGAGAGGAACACCUGCGGCGAAGGCGGGUUGCUGGGCCGACACUGACGCUGAGGCACGAAAGCUAGGGGAGCAAACAGG
rnacentral:rRNA from 1 species